UACGGAGGGUGCAAGCGUUAUCCGGAUUCACUGGGUUUAAAGGGUGCGUAGGUGGCUUGGUAAGUCAGUGGUGAAAGCCCGGAGCUCAACUCCGGAACUGCCAUUGAUACUGCUUAGCUUGAAUCAGGUCGAGGUGGAUGGAAUAUUACAUGUAGCGGUGAAAUGCUUAGAUAUGUAAUAGAACACCGAUUGCGAAGGCAGCUCACUAGGCCUGUAUUGACACUGAGGCACGAAAGCGUGGGGAUCAAACAGG
rnacentral:rRNA from 1 species